AUGGCGGGCAAGCUGCAACGCACGCCAUUGCGGUGUAAAACCGAGCAUCCGGCAUGGCGCGGCGCAGACUCGCAGACGGUGUGCGCGGUGCGGGGUGCAGACGUCAAGGGCGGCGUCGGGCCGUUUGGGCUGUGGGUGCUUGCGUCCGACGAGCUCAAGGAGAGGACAUCCGUCUUCUUCGGGGUGUUCAAGGACGGGGACGACAACAAGCACGUCGUGCUCAUGUGCAACGAUGCCUCCAAGUCGUCCUACGCCGACCACCUCUACAAGCCAAGCUUCGCCGGCUUCAUCGAUGUGGACAUCGUCAAAGAUAGGCGGCAAGAUACCUCUUAG
rnacentral:rRNA from 1 species